GAGGGUAUAUCUCAGUUGUAGAGCACAUGCCUAACACGCACAAGGUCCUGGGUUCAAUCCCCAGUACCUCCG
rnacentral:tRNA from 1 species